GAGACACCCCUAUGGAGCAGGACUUGCUUCAGUGGGGCUUUGGUGCUCACGAGUCUGCCCCUGGAGUGUGUUGCU
rnacentral:pre_miRNA from 1 species